UACAUGUCUGAAAGAAGUGUCC
rnacentral:misc_RNA from 1 species